UACAGAGGGUGCGAGCGUUAAUCGGAAUUACUGGGCGUAAAGGGCGCGUAGGCGGUUAGAAAAGUGUGAUGUGAAAGCCCCGGGCUUAACCUGGGAAGUGCAUCGCAAACGAUCUAGCUAGAGUAUAGGAGAGGGUGGCGGAAUUUCCGGUGUAGCGGUGAAAUGCGUAGAUAUCGCUUGGAACGCCAAUGGUGAAAACAGCUUGCUGGGGGUGUGCUGACGCUGAGACACGAAAGCCAGGGGAGCAAACGGG
rnacentral:rRNA from 1 species